GAUGAACGCUAGCUACAGGCUUAACACAUGCAAGUCGAGGGGCAGCACAGUGUAGCAAUACGACGGGUGGCGACCGGCGCACGGGUGCGUAACGCGUAUCCAACCUUCCCGUUACUCUUGGAUAGCCUUCCGAAAGGGGAGAUUAAUACAAGAUGGUAUUCAAAUUCCGCAUGUUAUUUGAAUUAAAGAUUUAUCGGUAACGGAUAGGCUCGCGUGACAUUAGCUAGACGGCGGGGUAACGGCCCACCGUGGCGACGAUGUCUAGGGGUUCUGAGAGGAAGGUCCCCCACACUGGAACUGAGACACGGUCCAGACUCCUACGGGAGGCAGCAGUGAGGAAUAUUGGUCAAUGGUCUGACGACUGAACCAGCCAUGCCGCGUGAAGGUCACGGCCCUAUGGGUCUUAAACUUCUUUUGCGAGGGAGCAAUAAGGUCUACGUGUAGUCCGAUGAGAGUACCUCGCGAAUAAGCAUCGGCUAACUCCGUG
rnacentral:rRNA from 1 species